rnacentral:rRNA from 1 species
CAGUCGCCACGGUAAUACGUAGAGUGCGAGCGUUAAUCGGAAUUACUGGGCGUAAAGCGUGCGCAGGCGGUUGUGUAAGACAGGUGUGAAAUCCCCGGGCCCAACCUGGGAAUGGCAAUGGAUACUGGCAAGCUAGAGUGGGUCAGAGGGUGGUGGAAUUCCCGGUGUAGCGGUGAAAUGCGUAGAGAUCGGGAGGAACAUCAGUGGCGAAGGCGGCCAUCUGGGACAACACUGACGCUGAGGCACGAAAGCGUGGGGAGCAAACAGGAUUAGAUACCCCUGUAGUCCCUGUCUCUUAUAC